rnacentral:lncRNA from 1 species
CUAUCAUCUGUUUUUGUCCUUGUUUGCGUGCAUGUGUGAAAGAAAUAAAAAAACCGACGUCUCACAAUGGGUGGCUAGAAGAGCGUUUAGCCUGACCUCCUUCAGCCCUCACACGUGUGGGCGAAAUUGCUUCAUGCCACACGUGUGACAUUUAUCAGGGUCCAUUAAGAUUUGUUCGUUGAAGGCGUAGUAGAGCUUGAGGUCGUGCCUGAAACAUAUAAGGCACAAAGAGACAUAUCAAGACCGGACAAAAUCGGCAUCGUGAACCCACAAAAGAGCUCUUGUGCGCCAUGAGGCCACCGUCGGCGCAAUCAGGUCUGCACCAUAAGUCAUCGCCCACCCAUAAGCGAGCCCCCCCACGCCUAAGAGAGGAGAGGGUGCGUACGUGCAUGGAUC